rnacentral:lncRNA from 1 species
GUGGUGUAGGCUGGCAGCUGUAGCUCUGAUUAGACCCUUAGCCUGGGAACCUCCAUAUGCCACAAGUUCGGUCCUAAAAAAAAUAAAUAUGAGUUCGGUCCUAAAAAAAAUAAAUAAAUAAAAGCAGGAAAAUAAAGGGAAUUAGGAAAAUAUAGAUUUUAAGCUAAUUUCAACAGAACAAAUGGAAGGUAUAUAUAGGAAUAAUAUAAUACUUUAUCUUUAGCUCUUCAAAGCGCUUUUAUUUUAUAUGUAUUUUUUUUUAGCCGUGCCCAUGACAUGUGGAAGUUCCCCGGCCAGGGAUUGAACCUGUGCCAUAGCAGCAACUUGAGCUGUGACAUCACCAGAUCCUUAACUCAUUGUACUAUAAGGGAACUCCCAAAGUGCUUUUAAAUUCAAGGUCUAAUUUGAUUUCUACAACAAUUUAAUGAAGGAGAUUAGACAGAUAUAAUUAUUUCUGUUCCGCACACAGGAAAAGCGAGGGUCUAAGUGGUUAAGUUGGCAAGGUCAAUGCAGCUAGUGCCUGACAAAACCAGCACUAGAACCCAGAGCCCCUGGGCCCUCUGUGGACCUCAGAUAAAGUCACAGCAGACACCAAAGUCACACCUGGCUUGGAACUGGCACUUCACUUUCCAUGUUACUGGUGUGAACUCCCCACCCCCAACCCCUGUGGCUCUAGCCUAGCCAGAAUCUCUUCCCUUUCUUUGUUCUCAGCAUUCUGACCUUUCUCUGUGGAAUCUGCCCACUGCCAGUCUUGGUGCAGAUUUCAGGGAUGGACAUGUGACCCCAACCCAGCCAAUGAGAGCUAUUGUUGGGAAGUCCAUCAAAAGCAUUAGAAAAGAGUUUACUGAGUUUGUAGCAAGUGGGCAAGAGCUACUGUGGUGUCUGAGCUCCCACUAGGGGAUGAGGUGCCUGGAACAGGGUCAGUUCGGAGAAUAGAGUGAGGAGGCUCAGACAGAUGCUCAAACAAGCUAUCUGGGUGCCUGGAUCUUGUGUGCCUAUUGGCUUUCUUGCUUAUCUGAGCCAGAACAUGGUUUUCCCCUUUCUUUCUUUUUAAAAAAAAUUUUUUUAUUAUAGUUGAUUUAUAAUAUGUCAAUUUCUGCCAUAUAGCAAAGUGACCCAGUCACACAUUUAUAUACAUUCUUUUUCCCACAUUCUCCUCCAACAUGUCCCCCCCUUUUCUUUCUUUUCCUACUCCUCCUUCCCCUCCUCUUCCCCUUCCCCCUCCUCCUUUUUAAAACUUUUUUGUUUGUUUCUUAGGACCACACCUGCGGCACAUGGAGGUUCCCAUACUAGGGGGGUCUAGUUGGAGCUGUAGCUGCCGGACUACGCCUCAGCAACACCAGAUCCUUAACCCACUGAACAAUUGUCUGCGACCUACACCCCAGGUCGGAUCCUUAACCCACUGAGCAAGGCCAGGGAUCAAACCCACAACCUCAUGGCUCCUAGUUGGAUUCGUUUCCAUUGCGCCACAAUGGGAACUCUUUAUUUAAUUUGGAGUUGAAUUCCCCUUAGUUGUAACCAGGACUCCUGACAGUAUACUCUCUGGUUUCAGUUUCUCAGCUGUAAAAUGGGGACACCAAUAGUAAAAUACCACUUGUCUCCUACACAGAAUUUCCUGAGAUUUACCUGAGUCAAUCCCAUCAAGUGCUUGUCAGUAAAUGCUACCCAUUAUUUUUAAUGAGUUAGGAGAUAUGAAUGUCAGAAAAAUCUCAUCCUUCUCACCACCCCCCCCAACAAAAAAGGAAGGAAAAGACUUACUCCAUGUAUAAAAAGAGAGAGAAUGGAUUCCUCAGUUAAGAGAAAAGAGAAAGUGCUGUGCCAGCAACUUCCAAGGGAGUUGCUUGGGAGUUCCUGUCGUGGCUCAGUGGUUACCAACCCCAAUUAGUAUCCAUGAGGACACAGGUUCAAUCCCUGGCCUUGCUCAGUGGGUUAAGGAUCCAGUGUUGCCGUGAGCUGUGAUGUAGGCCACAGGGAUCCCGCGUUGCUGUGCCUCUGGUGUAGGCUGGCAGCUGUAGCUCUGAUUCGACCCCUAGCCUGGGGAACCUCCAUAUGCCAAGGCUGCAAUCCUAAAAAGACAAAAGUCAAACAAUGACAACAAAACAAGACAAAAAACAAAGGGAGUUGCUUUUUCUUAAUUUAUCAUCAGACAGAGGCUCCCUGCAGCAGGCCCCGCCCCCCUCUCCCUUCUUACACAAAUUCACUCCCUUAGGGUCCCUAUUCAAUAGCAGGUGAUGCUGGGGUCCUGGAAAAAUGUUGGGGUAUUGGCAGUUGUUGAAAAUGGCAGGGAUUUCUAGAGAGGAGGAGAAAGGGGGAGACAAGUGGUUGGCAAGACAGAAAAGGCUGAUUUUGCAAUGCGGCCUGGAGACAGGGAACGUAAACUAGGAGAAAGUUAGCCAGGACUCAUGGCCUUGUUGUCGUGUUGGUUAUAGAAAGGAAAGACCUGGUGCCUGCACUCAGAAAAUGCUCUCUUAAGGCUGCUCUUUUCUAGGGAGCUGGGACUCUGAUGAAGCCAGGCCAGAGGGCUCUGAGGUUAAGAAAAAUUUUAGCACAGGAGGAACAAAAUUCACAUGCAAACCCGCUCUGCUGGAUUAAAUUGAAAAGGUGUUGCGUAACUCGCAGGAUCUCUGCAGGAUCAGGGGGAGGUGGGCAGAGAACUGGUUUUGGAGACGUCCCAGUCUGGAGCAAUGUCCUCAUUGUGGGAGGUGUGGGGGUGUGGGGGGCUGCUCCAGUGGAGCAUCGACCGUCCCUGCCCCAGGGCGCAGAUGUCAUGCUCAGCUCACACCGCUGGUACUGGUCACUGGGUGCCGGAAACCUCACAAUGGAGCCCUAAACCCUUACCCCAGAAUGGAUUCUUUGCAAUCCCAGUUUCCUCGUGUCCUCUCCUGGAGGCCAAGUCUGUCAUGGGGUAUCUGAUUGGCUAAGCCUGGGGUACAUGCCUUGUUGCAAAGGGGCUGGGAAAGCCAGUAUCAACCUCUGAUCUAGAGGAGGCAGGACUCAAAACGUGGGAAACUUCCCAGUCACAGGAUGGGGUUCAAAAGGGCAGCCAUCAAGGCUGUAUAUAUAUCUUGUAGCAUUUCUGUAUUGUGUAUGUGUGCACGUACACGUGUGUGUGCGUGUGUGUGGAAUAAGCAUAUGACCUGUGUCUUAAGUUCUCCUUUCCACAGUGUUUUCAUCCUUAAAAAUCUAAAGAACCAUCAUUCAAGCCCCCACCAGCAGCAGGAACCUAGUCUCAUUUAGCUGAGUUCAGACUGAGCUCCAAGUACCACCUGGUUCCUCCUUCUCCUUGUGGCUCUGCUCCUUUGGUUUGUUAUUGCUCCCUGCCACCCUAACACCCCACCCCCACCCCGCCAGCAAGAUGAGGACCUAAGGCUCCUCUCCUCCCUACCUCUGAAAUGAAGAGCUGACCCACUCCUCAGAGACAUGCCAGACCCCUGGGGAAGACCCUUUCUCCUAACGAAGCAGAGCACUCAGCUCUGAUUUGUCACAUCCUCUCCCUUUAGGACUUAGCUCUGGUUUGUCCUCUGCAGAAACAAAGGCCCAUUACAGCAGCCUUGGAGGUGAAUUCAGCUACCAAGCUUAGGUUGCAAAGACAGAAGUUUUUUUUUUUUGUUGUUUUUUAGCAUUUGGUCUUAACCCAGAGGGAACCACAUUUGGGGGCGGGGGGAAGAGUUGAAAAACUGCUCUAAUAGGUUUCUCCUUUAGGAAACCCAGGAAGAAGAUUAAGGGCAACACCCCCAAUCAGUCCCUGCCCCACACUCCAGGUGACGGUGUCUGUCAGGAACCCACUGGCCCGGACAAGGGGAGGUGAAGCAGUGGGUGGGGACCACUGGCCCGGACAAGGGGAGGUGAAGCAGUGGGUGGGGAUUCACUUGUUCCUCGGCUUUCCUACAUGUACCUUCCCCCUUCUAGUGAUGUUCACACACUUGCCCCCCACCCCAAUUCAUGUCUGUCACUCAGUGCUUGUCCACUGAAUGACUGACGAGCUCCUCUGUGUAUCCUGCUUGAGCUCCCCAGGAGAGUCAGCUACUAGCCCUGCCGUAUCCCCAUAACACUUCAUCCAAGACCCCUUUGCGGUAUUCACUCAGUGGUCCCAUAUUUAUCUGUGUUUUGUGCAUUUCCGUUUAUAAUAGGAGAACAUAUCAUUUUCUAUGGCAUCCUCAACAAUUGGAAGAGCUCCUGUUACUGGAAAAAAGAAAAGAUGGGUGGAUGGGUAGAUGGACACCUGAGCUUUGAGAGACAAUGAUCAGUGCAGCCAGGUGCCACGAGGGGGCAGUGUGGAGCAGCUUUUUACGACUUCCUCAGUCUCUCUCGUCAGACCUUGGCUGCCAGGAAUUCUAGAGCUUAUUUUGCUUAACAUUUUUAUUUUUUACUUAUUUUUUUUUUAAUUAAAAAUGUUUUUGGUUGCCCCCGCGGCAUAUGGAAGUUCCUGGGACAGGGACUGAAUCUGGGCUACAGCUGUGACCUAUGCCACAGCUCCAGUAUCGCUGGAUCCCUUAACCUACUGCACUGGGCCAGGGAUCGAACCCAUGUCUCCGCAGUGACUGAACUGCUACAAUUAGAUUCUUAACCCAUUGUGCCACAGCAGGAACUCCUGUUUGACUUUUUUUGUUUGUUUGUUUGUCAUUAUAGGGCUGCAUCUGAGGCAUAUGGAGGUUCCCAGGCUAGAGGUCGAAUCAGAGCCUACACCACAGCCACAGCAAUACCAGAGCUGAGCCACGUCUGCGACCUACACCACAGCUCACUGCAACACCAGAUCCUUAACCCACAGAGCGAGGCCAGGGAUCGAACCUGUGUCCUCAUGGAUACUAGUCAGAUUUGUUUCUGCUGAGCCACAACGAGAACACCUAACAUUUUUAUUUUUGAGAGAACGAGUUGAUGGCUGUGCCUGGGGGGUACACAGCCCCUGAGCUGGGCUCUUGAGUGGGCCCAGCACUCUGCCCAUUAUAAUACAGCUAGGAACCCAGCUCCUUAUGCUCUGAGGGCCCUGAUGUGUGAGCCCCUUUCAUUAUCCCCUGGAGCCCUUCCUGGGAGUCUUCCCAUUGGCCUCUGACUGGUGAGCACAGCACAGAGGGAAUAGACCCUGAGUGCAUCGUUCAGGGCCUCCUGUCUUCCUAGUGUCUCAGCAGGGCCACAGCUUUGGUGACUCAGCCCUCACCACACACCCCCCAACCCCAACAUAUGCCAUCUCUCCUUUUGGGACUCGUAUCCCUGUGCUCCUGUUUCCCGGGAAAGGAAGGACCCUGUGCUCAGAACGUGUCCUCAUCAUAUCCUCACAACAUCAGUGAUCCUUCUCUCAGAAUUUCCUUCUCUUGUGUAUCAUCUCCUCUAGCCCUGCUUUUUCAUUUCCCCUCUCUCUUUUUUUGGUGUAGGGAGGGUGGUUGGAGAGAACACUAAGAUAGUGAUGGCUCGUUCCCUCCCCUUCUGGCUGUCCACACACUUCACAGCCCAUUCCAAGGACUUUGCCUUAGACAGCAGAGUAUCUGGAAGACACACAAAAGCUCAAAAUUUCAUUUUCAUUCAUUCACCAAUGACUUAAUUAUUAAAAAUGUUUUAAAGCAUCCACUAUGCAUCAGGUUCUGAAACAAGUAACAGAGUUGUACAUUUAUCAAUCCCUUGCUCUGUGCUAAAGGCCUGAGAGUCAUUAUCUUUACACGGACCCAUGAGGGAGGUGGUGUUAUUGUACAGAUGAGGAAACAGAUCUAGAGAAAUGAUGUCACUCGCCCCAGGGAGCACAGCCAGUAAGCUACGGAACCAAUCAUCCAACCUUGGAGGCUGCUGUCCACGUGCCAGGCAUUUCCUGCCAAUGUUCAUGGCGGGGCUUGUGGUGGCCCGUGCCCAGAUUUUCCUGAGUCAGCACCUGCACAGGCAGCGAGAGUGCAUGGCCCCCAGGCCACGGGGAGGAGCAGGAAAAGCAGAACCCUCAGCCCUGGGUUCCUGGCCACUUACGUGUGUCAUAUCUUGGUGGCUCCUGAGGAGGAAUUCCAGAAUGUUCCCUCAAGUUCAAUUCUGCUACUGUGUGUCUUUACUCAAAGCUGUACCUUUGGGAAGAGUCCAUCCAAGGUCCCUGGGAUGGGAGUUUGGAACCUGGGUCUGCUCCAAGGGGCCUAACCAGCCAGGCGAGCUGGGCCCUCUCCCUUUGUCCUGCUGAGCCCUUCUGCUGCCUCAUCUGUGGAGUGGGAGACUACGUGGUCUGCCCUGGGUAGCUGCCCUCAGGAGGAGAUGAGAGCAUGAGCAUCAAAGGGCCUUUUAAUUCAGAGGUCUUUCCUCGUAUACAUCCAUGCAUCCUUAUUACUGUCAUGGUCUGGGCCGGUGUGCCUGGACCGAGUUCUCCUGGAGGCCCAGAGCAGAAGUUCCUUCAGGAAGUCACAGGUCAGGAGAAUGUUUUUCUGUUAUAAGUCUCAGUAAGUCACAUAGGGUUUUUAUGUAGGUCAACCUUUUUACAUAGAGUUGUUCCUUUUCUUUUUUGGCCACAGUGUGCAGCAUCUUGAUGUGCGAUCUCAGUUCCCAGAACAGGGAUUGAACCCU